GACGAACGCUGGCGGCGUGCUUAACACAUGCAAGUCGAACGGAAAGGCCCCUUUGGGGGUCCUCGAGUGGCGAACGGGUGAGUAACACGUGAGUAACCUGCCCUUGACUUCGGGAUAACUUCAGGAAACUGGGGCUAAUACCGGAUAGGAAUCCUUGCUGCAUGGUGGGGGUUGGAAAGCUUCGGCGGUUUUGGAUGGACUCGCGGCUUAUCAGCUUGUUGGUGGGGUAGUGGCUUACCAAGGCUUUGACGGGUAGCCGGCCUGAGCGGGCGACCGGCCACAUUGGGACUGAGAUACGGCCCAGACUCCUACGGGAGGCAGCAGUGGGGAAUAUUGCACAAUGGGCGGAAGCCUGAUGCAGCAACGCCGCGUGCGGGAGGACGGCCUUCGGGUUGUAAACCGCUUUCAGCAGGGGCGAAGCUUGUGGUGACGGUACCUGCAGAAGAAGCACCGGCUAACUACGUG
rnacentral:rRNA from 1 species